rnacentral:lncRNA from 1 species
GCGUGAAGAGAAGAGUCUAACUCAAUUUGAACUUUAAGUUUUCAUUCAAAUUCAAAUCCAUUUGAACUCAAAUUUAAAUUAACUAAUUUUUCAUUCAAAAAGAGAUCAGAUAUGGAUGUGCAACUACUUUUGAAUGUGAGAAAAAUUCAUGUAAAAAUUUUUCGCAUGAAGAAAUGGAGGGUGCAGAGAAAGAAGGCGCAAGAGAUUUAAAUUCAAAUUGAUUUCUCAUUCAAUUAGGUUUUUAACCCAACUGAAUUAGGUUAGAUCCAAUUAGACCAUUAAACCUAAUAUAAUUAGAUAGUAAAUAGUUUUGAUUAAAUUUUAAUCAAAUUAAAAAUUAAUCAAGCUCAAGUCCUGAUCAAAUCAGGAAUCGAACAUCCUUAGCGAUUAGGUCAUCUCAUAACCUAAUCGGAUCAAAACAAAUUGAAUCCAAUUUAAUUAGAUUUGAUC